CCCUAUGAAUUUUUUCAAAGACCUUUCUUGUUUGGAUCUUUGAAAAAAUUCAAGAAAGGUUUUUGAUUAAUUGGGGUGAUUUUUAAAUUUUAAAAAACUUUAGAAGUGUAUUACUAGAUCCAAUAUUAUUGAUGAUUUAAAAAAAAUACUCUAGGGAUAACAGCGUUAUUACUUUGGAUAGUUCAUAUAGAUAAAGUAGAUUGCGACCUCGAUGUUGGAUUAGGAUACCUUUAUUAAUGAAGAAGUUAUAAAAGGAGGUUUGCUCAACCUUCAAAUUCCUACAUGAUCUGAGUUCAGACCGG
rnacentral:rRNA from 1 species